rnacentral:lncRNA from 1 species
CAGUAUAUUUAAGCUUGGGGUUGGUUUUUUUGGAUCCGUUCUAACAAAAUUUUGUAUAUGUUUUCCUUUCUUUUUCUCCUUGCUAGAUUAUCUGUGCCUUUUCCUAUAGUUUUAUUCUAGGAGCAACUGCAGAGAAUUUGUCAGUGCAGUUGAAGGUUUUCCCAUUUGUUUACUGGAAACUUCCUUCUUAUUCUCAGGAGGUGUCACCUUCUAAGUGAUAUCACUUGGAUACUGAAACGUCUCCAUGAACUGGAAGAAUAUAUGCUUCAGUGUGAGUCCCUAGAUGAGAUCCCUGCCUGGCCAGCAAGACCCACUUUCUCCCAUGAGACCCUAAGUGGAGAACCCAGUUACAGCAUACUAGGACUCUGACCUACAGAAACUGUGAGAUAACAAAUUUG